rnacentral:lncRNA from 1 species
GGAGCACUAGAUGGACCCGGGCGAUCUAAGAAAUUUAAGAAUGACACAAAACAAAAGUAACUAUAUCAGAUAAAGUAUUUCUUUACCACUCUUAGAAUUUUAUUUUAUACUCUUAAUUUUUCUACGUAAUCUAAUCUCGAUAUUAAUUUCUUUUCUAUAAUAAAUUUUAUUUCUCUAUCGAACUCUAUUUUAUUUAUUUUCUACCGAAAUCUAUUUUAUUUUCUAUUAUUUUCUACUCUCUAUAAAUAAUUAAAUUUCUAUAAUGAAUUUUAUUUGCUACCGAAAUUCAUUUUANNNNNNNNNNNNNNNNNNNNNNNNNNNNNNNNNNNNNNNNNNNNNNNAUCUCCCCUAAAAAUUGGACUUUCCACCUGUUUAAAAUAUCAACAAUUUUAUCUAAUAACUCCAAAUCACACAGCCCAUCCAUCGGGCAAUCAAUCAAUUCAAUUUUUUUUUUCUUCUUUUUUUUUUUUUUUUCCAUCCUCCAUCCAAAGAACAAUAUUAACAUUACCUUUAAUCCUCAAUUCCUCAUUUCAUACCAUUCAUAAUAUUAUUAUCAAAAUUCCUCAAUAAAUUACUUCAUACUGAAUUUAAUUUUAACUAAUUAUUAUUUUUAUUAAUUAAUAUUUACUUCAUAUUAAUUAAUCAAUAAAUAUUUUUAUUGAUUAACUAAAUAAUUAAUAUUUUUAUUAAUUAACUAAAUAACUAAAAUUACUAACUAAAUAUUUUUCUUUUAUUAAUCAAUAAAUUAAUACUAUUUAAAUUAAUUUCACUACAUAAUAUUAAUUAACUACGCAAACUAACUAAAAUUAAAUGAACUAAAUUAAUUAACUACAAUAAUAAAAUUAACUUAAUUAACUAAAAUUACUAAAAUUAAUUUAUACCCCAAAUAUAAUUUUUCUUGCUGAAUUUCGUUAGAUCGGUGACGAAACCAAAUUGACUGGAUCAACCAAAACUGGCAGCAGCACUAACCGGAGUCGCGCGCAGGAGGUGCUGUGUCAAGCGGCGACGACUGCUGUGGCAGAGCUGCUGCGGUGAGGAGCACCGGUGGCGCGCGAUGGCGUGGGUGGCGCACGAUGCUGCUCUGUCUCACCAGUAAUGCAGGCGCAAUGAAGAAAGAAAGGAAGAAAGAAAAGAAAAGAAAAGAAAGAAAAGAUGAAGAAGAAGAAAGUGGAGGAGAAGGCUGGCUGGGUGGCGCUGCGUGGUGGUCUGGACUGAGUGAGUGAGAUGAGUUGAGUGUGAAGAUAAAAGAAAGAAGAUGUUUCUAGAUGAUUUGGGUCGAUUCGGUUUGAUUCCGCCCAAAUCUUUGGUUUUCAUUUGAUUUUUGAAUUUUUAACUGAUUUUUCGGUUCGGUUUAUCACGGUGCGAACUAUUAAUUUGCAUUUAAAUAAUUUAAUACAUUUUCCACGCUGUCAGUUUAUUAAAUUUAAAUGAAAAAUAUUUGAAAAUAAAAAUUCGGGUUAUUUCAGUCUUCCCCCCUUAUAAAAAUUCGUCCUCGAAUUUUAAAGCUAACAAGAAACUAGGAUGCAACAGUUGUUUACUACAAUGGUGGUUGUGCUUCUCACAUAAUGCUGCAACUGCUAAAAGUUAUGACAUUUACACUCAGGAGAAUUCUUGUUCUGAUGAACAGUUAGAUAUCUACCUUAUCACUAUAGUUAAUUUAAACUUGAGUUGUACUAUAUCCACAAGUCAAAUCAAGUAGAACAUUCAUAACCCAAGGCACAGGUUCGACACUAAUAUUCACCUUUACACAAAAGAAUUUAAGUUCCUCAUAACUUUUGCUAAGUAAAGAUUAUUAAUCUCAUUAGCUAUAUAUCAUGUGACCUACAUUGACGUAUAGUCUCAUUUAUCUCUCAUGAGCUAUUAUAAGCAAUGAUCAUCACUCAAUAAGACGCUCAUACGUAAACCAAAUAUUAGAUCUUCUGAUACAAGAAUCCACAUUUUCAAAUUUACUACUAUCCCAAUUUAGAAUCCUUAUUU